GUGGUCGUUUCGGCAGCACAUUCACUAAAACUGGAACGAGACGGGGAAGAUUAGCAUGGCCCCCGCACAAGGAUGACACGCAAGUUCGUGAAGCGUUUCGUAUUUUA
rnacentral:snRNA from 1 species